CCAAAGGUUCCCUCAGAAUGGUUGGAAAUCAUUCGUAGAGUGCAAAGGCAUAAGGGAGCUUGACUGCGAGACCUACAAGUCGAGCAGGGACGAAAGUCGGGCUUAGUGAUCCGGUGGUUCCGCAUGGAAGGGCCAUCGCUCAACGGAUAAAAGCUACCCCGGGGAUAACAGGCUUAUCUCCCCCAAGAGUCCACAUCGACGGGGAGGUUUGGCACCUCGAUGUCGGCUCAUCGCAUCCUGGGGCUGUAGUCGGUCCCAAGGGUUGGGCUGUUCGCCCAUUAAAGCGGUACGCGAGCUGGGUUCAGAACGUCGUGAGACAGUUCGGUCCCUAUCCGUCGUGGGCGUAGGAAAUUUGAGAGGAGCUGUCCUUAGUACGAGAGGACCGGGAUGGACGCACCGCUGGUGUACCAGUUGUUCUGCCAAGGGCAUAGCUGGGUAGCUAUGUGCGGAAGGGAUAAGUGCUGAAAGCAUCUAAGCAUGAAGCCCCCCUCAAGAUGAGAUUUCCCAUAGCGUAAGCUAGUAAGAUCCCUGAAAGAUGAUCAGGUUGAUAGGUUCGAGGUGGAAGCAUGGUGACAUGUGGAGCUGACGAAUACUAAUAGAUCGAGGACUUAACCAUAUAA
rnacentral:rRNA from 3 species